UACGUAGGGGGCGAGCGUUGUCCGGAAUCAUUGGGCGUAAGCGCGCGCAGGCGGUUGGGAGAGCCCGGCGUGAAAGCCCCCAGCUCAACUGGGGGAGGCCGUCGGGGACCUUCCGACUGGAGGCCGGUAGGGGCGAGCGGAAUUCCCGGUGAGUGGUGGAAUGCGUAGAUAUCGGGAGGAACACCAGUGGCGAAGGCGGCUCGCUGGACCGGUCCUGGACGCUCAGGCGCGAAAGCGUGGGGAGCGGAUCCGG
rnacentral:rRNA from 1 species